GAAACGACUGCUAAGACUGGAUAGGAGACAAGAAGGCAUCUUCUUGUUUUUAAAAGACCUAGCAAUAGGUAUGCUUAGGGAGGAGCUUGCGUCACAUUAGUUAGUUGGUGGGGUAAAGGCCUACCAAGACUAUGAUGUGUAGCCGGGCUGAGAGGUUGAACGGCCACAUUGGGACUGAGACACGGCCCAAACUCCUACGGGAGGCAGCAGUAGGGAAUUUUCGGCAAUGGAGGAAACUCUGACCGAGCAACGCCGCGUGAACGAUGAAGUAUUUCGGUACGUAAAGUUCUUUUAUUAGGGAAGAAUAAAUGAUGGAAAAAUCAUUCUGACGGUACCUAAUGAAUAAGCCCCGGCUAACUAUGUGCCAGCAGCCGCGGUAAUACAUAGGGGGCAAGCGUUAUCCGGAAUUAUUGGGCGUAAAGGGUGCGUAGGCGGUUAAAUAAGUUUAUGGUCUAAGUGCAAUGCUCAACAUUGUGAUGCUAUAAAAACUGUUUAGCUAGAGUAAGAUAGAGGCAAGUGGAAUUCCAUGUGUAGUGGUAAAAUGCGUAAAUAUAUGGAGGAACACCAGUAGCGAAGGCGGCUUGCUGGGUCUUUACUGACGCUGAGGCACGAAAGCGUGGGGAGCAAACAGGUUUAGAUACCCUGGUAGUCCACGCCGUAAACGAUGAGUACUAAACGUUGGGUAAAACCAGUGUUGAAGUUAACACAUUAAGUACUCCGCCUGAGUAGUACGUACGCAAGUAUGAAACUUAAAGGAAUUGACGGGACUCCGCACAAGCGGUGGAUCAUGUUGUUUAAUUCGAAGGUACCCGAAAAACCUCACCAGGUCUUGACAUGCUUCUGCAAAGCUGUAAAAACACAGUGGAGGUUAUCAGUUGCACAGGUGGUGCAUGGUUGUCCUCAGCUCGUGUCGUGAGAUGUUGGGUUAAGUCCCGCAACGAGCGCAACCCUUAUUGUUAGUUACCAGCACGUAAUGGUGGGGACUUUAGCAAGACUGCCAGUGAUAAAUUGGAGGAAGGUGGGGACGACGUCAAAUCAUCAUGCCCCUUAUGACCUGGGCUACAAACGUGAUACAAUGGCUGUUACAAAGGGUAGCUGAAGCGCAAGUUUUUGGCGAAUCUCAAAAAAACAGUCUCAGUUCGGAUUGAAGUCUGCAACUCGACUUCAUGAAGUUGGAAUCGCUAGUAAUCGCGAAUCAGCAUGUCGCGGUGAAUACGUUCUCGGGGUUUGUACACACCGCCCGUCAAACCACGAAAGUUGGUAAUACCCAAAGCCGGUGGCCUAACUUCGCAAGAAGAGGGAACCGUCUAAGGUAGGGUCGAUGAUUGGGGUUAAGUC
rnacentral:rRNA from 1 species